rnacentral:lncRNA from 1 species
CUCACAUCCAAACCAUAACACUGGGGAAAUUCUAUAAAUUUCUCAAGAAAAUUAGCACUUUCCUGAAGCAUGAGUCUAUGGAGAAAGAAUUAUCUACCAGCUGCUGUAACACUGCUAAGAAAAUGGAGAGCAGAGGGAAACCAUGGCUCUAGAACAAUAAUUGUAUGGAAUCUGUGGCCCAUUUUCCAAUCAGCCAUUCCCAGGUUUAAUUAUUAGAACCACCAGCAUACUUGAAAAAUCACACUGAUUUCUUUUAAAAGCACAGGUCAUACAUUCUAUUUGAGAGUCUGUGGAGGGGCCCAGGAAUCCAUGGGUGUCUAUGUACAUAUAUAUGUGCAUACACAUGUAUGUACGUAUACUUAAUGGAGCUCCCCCAAGUGAUCCUAAGGGCAAUCCAGCCACCUGUAGUCAGGAUGAACUGCACAGAAGCAAAUGUAAUAUAAGGACAGAAUCAGAUACUUAGACUUUUGUAUUCUGUUUCCAUUUUUUUGUUUUUAAUCAUAAAUAGCUUACUAUAUGGAAGGAUUUUAUGGUAGAAUUUUUUCUUAAUUUAUUCUCACACGCUUAAAGCUACUCAAAAAUGUAGAGUUGGAAGAUUAAAAGGAAAACUCAAAGUCUUGGCUUUGCCUUGUCCCAUAAUGACAAAUGAAAUAUAUGCAUAUGUAAAAUCCACAUUGCAAACUACCCAGUGCAGUGUGGGUAGGUAAUACACAAGUAUAAAGUAUUUUAAAACAGAUAUAAUUUGUUUGUGCUAACUUUGCCCCAAAUUAAAAUACUACAUCAGUGGCCAAAAUUGCUCUCAUUUUACAGAUGAGGAAUUUCAAUAAAAUUGUCUAAAGUCAAGUUGGGAAGAGACAGAAUAUUCAAAACCAGGUCUGUCUCCAUGUAAGAGGCUGGCACCCUGGCCACUAUACCACUCUCUCUCCCUCUUCCCACAUAGGGCUCCUAACUCAGUGACACGUGGGCAAGGUUGAAUAGGAAAGAGUCCUGGGCAGAGUCCGGAGGCCCAGGGGUGAGUUGUGCUCUGUUUCCUCUAGCUGUGUGGCCUCAUCAUUCAGCAAGUUUUAUAAGCUCCAUCCUCUCUCUCUUUCCUUUCAUCUGUGCAAUGAGGGGAAGACUGCUUGAGUCUGGAGGUCUUUUCCAUGUUACAAGUUCUGUGAGUUGAAAGGUAACACGCCGAGGUGCCCUUUCACUUCAUGACAUAUGAUC